rnacentral:rRNA from 1 species
AUACGGAGGGGGCGAGCGUUGUCCGGAAUGAUUGGGCGUAAAGGGCGCGUAGGCGGCCCGGUAAGUCUGGAGUGAAAGUCCUGUUUUUAAGAUGGGAAUUGCUUUGGAUACUGUCGGGCUUGAGUGCAGGAGAGGUAAGUGGAAUUCCCAGUGUAGCGGUGAAAUGCGUAGAGAUUGGGAGGAACACCAGUGGCGAAGGCGACUUACUGGACUGUGACUGACGCUGAGGCGCGAAAGUGUGGGGAGCAAACAGGAUUAGAUACCCUGGUAGUCCACACUGUAAACGAUGAAUGCUAGGUGUAGGGGGUAUCGACCCCUUCUGUGCCGCAGUCAACACAAUAAGCAUUCCGCCUGGGGAGUACGGCCGCAAGGUUGAAACUCAAAUGAAUUGGCGGGG